GUAUUUGGAGCUUAGGAGAGGUUGUUCUUUUAUAAGUACAGAACAUAUUCAUUUGAUGAGGUUGAACAAGCGAACAGCUGCAUAGCCUUAGUCUAUCUAUGGAACGAGUUUUGUUUCUUCGUUCCUCCUCUUGCUAACUAAUACAACUUUUCUCUCUAAGAAACCUGUUCUAUAUAAUUGAAGUUCUCUCUUUUACAACAAGGUCACAGCUUACCAUUUCUAAGACAAUCAACUUCAAUUUGGCUUUCUAAAUCAUGUAGAUGAGACCACAUGUUAUUGUCAUUUUCUUGCUGUUGCUUCCUCCUCUUCCGAUUAUUGUAUGACUGAACUACUUUGGUUUCAGGCUGAAGGAAAAAAUGGGAUAUGAUUAUUGUAUGACUGAACUACUUUGGUUUCAGGCUGAAGGAAAAAAUGGGAUAUGAGCCAACCGACAAGCAACUGGCUUCUUCACUGAGGAUGUCGCGUGCUGAACUGCACACAAAAAUGAUCGAGUGUUCUCU
rnacentral:lncRNA from 1 species